rnacentral:rRNA from 1 species
CCAGACUCCUACGGGAGGCAGCAGUAGGGAAUCUUUCACAAUGGGCGAAAGCCUGAUGGAGCAACGCCGCGUGCAGGAUGAAGGCCUUCGGGUUGUAAACUGCUUUUAUAAGCGAGAAAUAUGAUGGUAACUUAUGAAUAAGGAUCGGCUAACUACGUGCCAGCAGCCGCGGUAAUACGUAGGGGGCAAGCGUUAUCCGGAUUCACUGGGCGUAAAGGGAGCGCAGGCGGCACGGCAAGUCUGGUGUGAAAGCCCGGGGCCCAACCCCGGGACUGCAUUGGAAACUGCCGGGCUGGAGUGCCGGAGGGGCAGGCGGAAUUCCUGGUGUAGCGGUGAAAUGCGCAGAUAUCAGGAAGAACACCGGUGGCGCAGGCGGCCUGCUGGACGGCAACUGACGCUGAGGCUCGAAAGCGUGGGGAGCAAACAGGAUUAGAUACCCCAGUAA